CCCGGGCCCGCCAAAUGGCGAGUAGGGGGCAGAGGUUUGAAGCCUCAAUUAAAAUUAAUCUGGGAAGGCAAUAAUAAUGAAGGAAAUUAAGGCGUUAUAUAAACAUAUGUAUGUACUGCACUAUUAUUACUUCUUGGUGGCUAUUAGUGCUCACUGCAGGGAUGUCCUGCUGUCUGGAAAUCGGCUUUGCCAGCAAGGAAACCUGAGGAAAAUGCUACCCUAGUUAAUGAUGCUGUAGCUUUUAGGAGAAGCUUACAAUUAAAUAGAUACAGUUUUUUCUUUCAAAAUAUGCUCUUGAAUAAAUUAAUUUGCAUCCAGAAAGGGCAUCUGCUUUCCUUGGCUCAGAUAUUGUUCUAAAAGUGUUUAGGUAUGCGGCUCAUGCAGAGACUGGUGCCUAAUAUCUGAGCAGUUCUGAAGAUCUGUCCUGGGUUGUUUCAGGUUAAACCAGCAAUACUGUGUUAAUUCAGAAUUUUAAACACAGAACUCUGCAGGGUCAGUAACCCUGGGAGAGGGAAAGGAUGGGCACACAGACACCAGAGCCCAUGAGGUGAAGAGCUAAAUGGCCUGGUGUUUAGUAACACCUAGCAGCUAACACUAAACCUUCUCUUUUAUACUUGAGGGAGAAACUGGAAACACUGGACCCGUCUCUGGGUUUGUUGGAGGUCACUUGCUGAGUUAUCUCCAAUUCACAGUUCAUUAGAAGGUAUGUAACUCCUCAGUGAUGUUGUUAUUUAACAGAUUUGUACUUCAUGGUCAAAUGCAUUAAAAGAAGAAAAAGAAAUGGGGGAGGAAAAGAAAAAAUGUAAUUUGUGGAGCUGCCAACUUGCAUUUGCCUGAUUUACUUCAGCAGUGGAGGAGAGGAAGAAUUCCAAACACGUCAUCCUGAUUUCACAAGUCUGCAGAGGUCUCCAAAGUGGACUUGUCCAUCUGUGUUAGGUAGUAAAUAGCACUCUACUUUUGUUACAUGCAAAUGCCUCUGUAUGUGCACUCCCUCUCUGUAUACAAGUAAUCUGUAGAUCCUAUCUGUCUAGACAUGUGUGCAUACACUUUCUGGACUUAAGCCACUGAACACUAAUUAUGUAUAAAGUAUCUAAGUGUUCACACAGGCAUACAAGACACAAAGAAAUCUAGUUAUUUUUCUUUUGAAAUAAUACAAACAGUAAAUAAUAGUUGAGCAAAUAAAACUUGCAGUUCAAUUUUUGUUUCAGUUCACAAUGCUAUUACAUGGCCCUUGAAAACUGUGGAGUAAGAAUGCAAUGAUAAAUAAAAGACAAUCCAUCUUGUUUUCAUUAAGGGACUAGUUUCUUACUACACUGCUGAAAGAGAUGUCUUGAUUUGCAUUUGGAUAUAAAGAUUCCUUAUUCUCAAAAUAAACUCAGUGUAAUAAUUGGGGUUGUAAUUUUUAUUGAAGGUGAGUGCUGGCUUCCAGUUCUCAGAUGUUAAUAUUAAUUUUGAUCUUAAGAAAAAUUGCUAUGCUAAUUAUCAAUAUAUAACUUUUUACAUUUUUAGGAGCAUUUCUUAAUGAAUGUUGGAGAGAAUGACUUUCUGUAACUUCCUUGCAUUGCACUGGAAUUCCAUGGUAGAUGUAGCAGUAGCAUUCAGUUCCCUAGACAGCAUCCAUCCACCUUAAUCAUGAAACUGUCUCUUCUUUCAUUUUCCUUUUCUAUUAAUUAGAGUUUUGGUUGUUUGGUGGUUUUGUUUUUUUUUUUUUUUUUUUUUGGUUGUUGUUUGGGUUUUGUUUUGUUUUUAAUUUCUGGAACAAAUUAAAGCAGAGUGCUAUAAACAAAUGACUUCUUAAUUAAUAACCCUGAUUUAGUUCCAGUGCAUAGCUUGUAUUUUGUUGUAUAUGAAACAUAGUGGCCAAAUACUGUAUAAUGCAGUACAACACUGGAUUAAGAGUAUUUUUAGGCAUAGGUGGAUUUUGUGAUCCUACCACUUGAAGUCAUGUUAUAAUGCCUGUCUUCUACAUCAUAGAAGCUCUUGCUACUUUGAAUGUUCCUUGCAUCACAAAGUUGUAGUUCAGCCUAUGUUCCUCUGCCACUCUCUCAUCCUUCCUCAGUGGCUGUAAUUCUGUAAUUGCUUGAUCUGACCAACAGCAUUUGAAGUCAAAAUGAAUGACAUCUUUAUCUCACAUUUCCUUGAACGUACGAUAGUUUUCUCUGUUACAGCAGAUAAUUGUUAUUGUAUUUGCAGUAGUUCCUUGUAUGUAUUUAAGCACUGGAAAUGUUUUUGUAUUUCUAGAGUCCUGUGUGGUUGGCAAAAACUGACAGUUGCAGUUAUAAUUGUAGCACAGGUGCAGAACUUACCUUCUCUCUAAUGUUCUUCCAAAACAGAAAAAAAAUUGCAUAUGAACAUUAUUAAUUCACUAAAUAUUCAGUGACAGUACUUACCUCAUAGUUAUAGACAUUCCUCCCCAAAAUCUAUUUUUAUUGUGUUCACCCAUCCUGAAGUGGCAAAAGGCAGGAGGGAAGGGAAAAGGAGGCUUUGCUUGCUCAAAUCUUGACUUCAAAAACAAUGAAGAAAAUAACCCUAGUGUCUGGGUUUCCAAACCAAGGCACCAGGACAGCCAGCUGGUGGUAAUUUCUAAGCAGCUGUAGUGGAUGUUGUUCACAGUUCUCUGCUUUGACAGUUUUUAUGCUUUGUUGUUCAAUUUUGUGCAUGAAUCCACUGGCAUCAUCUUCAUUGUGGGAGAGCAUUUCCCUUUCUAAAGAGUUUCUGUGGAAUCUCCUGCAGCACACAGAAAUUGUGCUGUACCUUUCACUGGGUCCUACAAAUUAAAGCCUCCUAGUGUAGCCAAAGCACAUUCUCUUUGUUGUUGUUUUGCACUCUGUACCCAUGAAGGGUCCUGGGCUUAGUUUUUAAAGGAAUAAUUAUACUAUUUAAAUAUUAAACAUCAAAGUUCUUCUUUUGUUGUUAAAAUGAUAUUAAAGUAGGACAAAACCGAUUUGCAGUUUAUGGUAUUGCAUUCCAGAAUUGCUGGCGUUGCAGCUGAUGUCCUGUUUCAGCGAUAUUGGCACUGCCAGGAGGCUCAGAAAUGCAGACUUUAAUCAAAAACUUUGAGAUACACUUCAGUUAAAUUGCAAAUUAAUCUUUCCUUGUGAACUUCCAAGCUGUUAAAAAGAGCAAAUGGCUGCAGCUUCCUUUAAAAUAAUUCAAAAGCCUGCUUUUCAUCAGCAUAUGAUUUCAGUAUAGUGGAAGUAAAGGCUGUGUGUCGUCUUCUCACAGAUUGUUAUUUAAGCACUAUAUAUUAGCUUUCAUUGCCCUUUUGAUAUAUUUAAGCUCAUAAACUUCUCAUUGAACAGAUUAAAUUUACCAUUAUGUUGUUACUUUUUAUGAAUAGAAUAAAUCAAUAUCAGAUAUGUUGGUUUGCACUGAACUGUUUAUUUUAAGGGAUGUUUAAACUUUACUGAAAGAAAAUAGGUCUGAUGCCCAGUCCUCCACUUUAAAAUUCUUUAUUUGGUAACACUUUGAGAUACAGCCUGUCUCAACCAGCAAGUGCCACACAUAUCAUCCAGUGAUACAAGGCAAAUAAAAUUCCCUAACAUUCUUUGAAAUGUAAUAUAUUUUGCACUAUUCCCAAUAUCUAGUAUUUAAAUACUUGCAAGUUGUUUUGUUAUUGCAAUAGAAAGCUUUCAUUUCAUUAUUAGGGAAAUAUUCCAGAGUAAGACUAGUAUUUUUUUUUUUCACUGAAAAAUAUUAACUCUGUGCUGAAAAUGUCUGUCUGAUAUCUCAUAUAUAUACAUAUAUAAGAAAAUAAUAAAUUCUUUCAAAAGACACAGUCCUCAAUCAUAAAUCAAAUGCUAGCAGGUCAAUGAAAACUGCCUUCUAAAAUGUAUUGCUCAAUUCUUAAUAUUUAUGGUAGCCACAAAACUUGAAAACACCUGUUCUGCAGAGAAGUAGCUCUUUAAAAUACACUCCAGCAGCAAGAGCUCUCUCUGAAUUCAGAGUCAGAACUUUGCUUUGCAGGGGUUAAGUGAGCAGCCAUGAUUCCCAAAAAGUGAUAAAAAAUGUUUAGUUCUUUUAAUUGUGAGGAAACAGGAGCUUAUUUCACUUUAAGGCUGUAAUCCUCAAAUAGUCUGUACAAACCAGCUGACUUUGUCUACAGAUCUGAAGUGUUCAGAAAUAUCAUUGCGUUUAUUUUGUCUUUGAAUUUUUGCUUUUUUGAUUGUUUAAUGUAUGUUUAUUAUUGUUAGUCAGGUGAAGUUCCACAUAGACAAUUGCAAAAGUAUGUACAGUGGAUAUAAAAACUUGGAAAGUACUUAUAUCAGUAUAAUCAUGUAAUAACAGCCCAGACUUUGUGCUUGAUAGAGGUAUUUUGUUCAGAUGCAGUGUUGCUUCUGUAGGCAUUUCCUCACCAAUAAUAUAUGCAGUACAAUCUUUAGGAUUGUAUUAAAUAGCUAAUUAAAUGGGGUCAGCUUAAUCUUUCUUGAUGAUUAGGAAUAGGCAUCUCAUCCACUGGAAAAGCUAAUUGUUUUGGGUGGAGCAUCUUGUUCUUGUUUGAAUCAUGAUCUCUGUUUACAUUCACACAGCAUUCAUCACUUGCACCUUUUGGAAAAAAAGGGGGUGUGCCCAGAGCAGUUUUUCAAAUGCUGUAUAGAGUCUUCUCAAGACUUAGUGUUGAGGCUUUUUCUGAACUUGUGGAGCCGGACUGGAAGCUGUCUGAACACAUGGUCAUUUAUAUUUGGAUCACCUAAGUUAAGUAAUAAACAUUUUCUUAAAUAUCUUUAAAUCUUUCCAUCCCUCAGUAACACAACUUUCUUACUGCUGUCACCCAACAUAGAUUGGCUGGUCUUGCCUCUUUCCUUCUCUCUGUGCUUCUGCCCCACGUACCAUGGUUCUUUUGGCACAUCCAGCAUUUCUCUGAUUUUGCCCAUUGAUGCCACAGCAGCUGUUACUUAGUUGUGUGUGGGUAGGGUUGCCUUUGCAUUUAUUAGUCUUGUUUCAUCUGCAUGGAGAGGGUGUCAGAUGUUAUUCCUCCUGGUGUUUCUUCCUUUUUCUUUCUCUGUAGUUCACUCAAACCUUAAUUUAGUUUUGGCUUAAACAACCUGGUCUUUGACUUCUGCUGUGCAGUCUUUAUCCUGGACUCAAUUUGGUUUUCUCUGUCACCUGUGACACUUUCAAAAUAGAAGGGGUAUGUAGUUUAAAUGGACUGAACUCUAUGGCAAUUUAUAAAGCUCUUGUAACUGCCCAAGGACAAGUUAAUAGAUUAUGCUGUUUGAUUCCUCUGACUUCUUGGCACAGCUGUUUGGGGUAUAAAUCCUCACAGUAGUGAACAUUUAGUUUCCAAAUAUUUAAUGUGCUGUGCUAGGCAAAAAGCUUAUAGGACAAUGUUAAGGAAAAAAGAAAAUCGAGACACUAAAAUUGAUGUGCUUGCUCACUACAUGGUGCAGUCUUGCAGGUGAGUCCAAAAGCAGGAAAAUAGAAACAGAUUUGAAUAUUUGGGAGGAGAAGGGGAGGAGUCUGUUAGUCUUGUAAAGGGUCUGGUUAUUGUUCAAAGGAAUCUCCUUUCUUACACUGAAAUAAGGCACUGACAGCUGUCGGAAGGCAUGGUAUAGAGGAUAUACUUCCAGUACUUAAUACUUUAGGAGGUGAAAGUUCAAAACCACAACAUCUUCUGAGACUUAAAUAGUCUUUGCCUUUGAGAACACAUAAUAGCUGGACAGUUUCUAGUAUUGUUCAGUGCCAUCCACAGUGAUCUUUUCUGAUCUAGCUCCCAAAAGAAGGAAAAUAUUAAUUUUCAAAUAUAUGAACAGUAGGCAUCUCAGCACAACCUGAGGUUGUCUCCUAUCAACUAUAUAAUCUUUAUAUUCUAGAUUAAUAAACACUUCAGCCUUGGAGUUUAUUAGUCCAAAAUAUAUUUAUUACCUCAUAAAUUCAAACCCCCUCCAGUUAUCAUCUAAUUAAAUUGCAACACUGUGCAUGCUAUCUUUGGGGAUGUAUUAAUAAUGAAAUUAUCUUGUGAAACAGUAAUUACAUGCUUUGUGCAUUCUUUUCCAUACUUUUUUUUUCAGUGUCUAUGUGAUGAGUGGGGCACACAGUACUCCAUUGUUCUGAGCUCCUCCAAACUCCAUACUUAUCCAAGGAUAAGCAGGCUUAUUUUUUUCCUCUUAGAAAAAGAGAGAAAAGUUUGUGCGUUUUUGCACUUGGGAAGGGGAAGGACCAAUAUUGCUAGGCUAGGAACAGUUAUGAAGCAUGAUUGUGCAAGUAAUUUUAUAUCAUGUUUUCUCCUCACUCUUUGACUUUACUCACAGGAAUAAAAACUACUUGCAGGAUCUUUUCUGUAAGGCAGUUCUUACUGUAGUUGCCAAAAGUGAAGAUGACCACUUUAUUUGCAAGAGAAUAUUCAUUUAUAGGCCUUCACUGGUGACGUAGAAUUGAAUAAAAGGAAAAUAGUCUUAAAGCCUUCCUCGGGAGAGAGAUUUACUUGCAAUUUUUUCAGUGAUAAGUAAACUGAGACACAGAAGCCGGGUUCCUCCAAGCUGUGAAGUGAAUCGAUGCCAAGCCCAGCGUUAGACACUAGAUUAAUCCUUUCUUCCAGAAGUCGAGCUGUGCGGUUUCAGGCCAAAGAAAUGGAUUCUCAGUGAGUGAAGAUUUGGUGUCAUCCUGAAAUCAAUGGGGAAAUGCAAGGGUACAUUUGCUGUGCAUCAAGCCCACCCUGUUUUGUUGCAUGGGAUUUCUGCUCCCUCUCCCAAAUCUCAGUUUUACCAAAGGAUAAUUUUUCCUCUAGAGGGAAAACCAUACCAGCUCUUGUGCACUAAUGCCAAGCGCUGCUUUCUUUUAUUUCCUUUGAAGCACUGGAUUUCUCCUUCAGGAGGUGGUGUGACUUAAUGUCGUCUCCCUGCGCAGCGAGGUAACCGCUCUAGUGACCAAAGCAGUGUGCUGAAACUUGGGAGGGCCUUGGUGUGCCCCUCGACACCCCUGGCAGCAUGGGGCGAAUUCUCCUCGCACCGCAGUCCUCGUCUGCAGUCGCCACAGAGAAAACCAUCUGUUCCACUUGGAAAGGGGUUGGGUUCCACACGCCCUCCCCCCCGCAUCCCGGCUCCAGCCCCAGCUGCCGUGUUUCGAUGAGCACUGAGGGGAUGAGUCUCCUGUGUUAAAAAUACUCUGGUUCUAUUUGGAUAAAAAGAAGAAUCUUCCUUGCCUACACUGCCACACAAAAAUAGUCUUAGUGUGAGUAAAUCUUCAAAGUUCCUCUUGGUGAAAAUAUCUAGCCUUGCUUUUUUUUCUUUAACUUCUCAUAUAAAUUUAUUUAUAGAAUGCCCUUCUUUCCUCCUACUCUACUGCAGAAGGUUGCCACUCGUCUCGUUCAUGAGUCCUGAAAUAAGUUGCAGGGCCUUUGAAACAUCA